ACCCUAUGGAGCUUUAGACACCAACCAACCACGAAAAGCGACCCUGAUUGGAGCCCCAAACAACGUGAUUCUGGCAUAAGUGUCUUCGGUUGGGGCGACCACGGGAGAUAGCACAGCUCCCGAGUGGAUGGGGGACACCCUAAAACCCAGAGCCACAGCUCUAAGUCACAAAACAUUUGACCAAUAAUGAUCCGGCUUAAUGCCGACCAACGGACCAAGUUACCCUAGGGAUAACAGCGCAAUCCUCUCCCAGAGUCCAUAUCGACGAGGGGGUU
rnacentral:rRNA from 1 species